rnacentral:rRNA from 1 species
GGCCUGUCUCAGUUCGGAUUGGAGGCUGAAACCCGCCUCCAUGAAGUUGGAUUCGCUAGUAAUCGCGCAUCAGCCAUGGCGCGGUGAAUACGUUCCCGGGCCUUGUACACACCGCCCGUCAAGCCAUGGGAGCCGGGGGUGCCUGAAGUUCGUGACCGCAAGGAGCGACCUAGGGCAAAACUGGUGACUGGGGCUAAGUCGUAACAAGGUAAC